CACUAUUGAGGUAUGUCUCGACUAUCCUUCGAUUUGUCCUCUUUAAUUUGCAACUGUGUUAUCUUACCAGAUGAUUGAAUUUAUUAAGCGAAGCCGAUCGAUAUGAUAGACUACGCUAUCGGUCAGAAGUACUUUAGCAGUGAUAGUGAAGAAGGAAGGCACCAGUCGUACACUAUUCGACAAAAUUUUCAAAAUCAUUCCGACAAUUCGACAGAUCGCGAAUUUUGAAACUUUUCCAGAUAAAUAGCGUUCGCGAAUUUUUUGUUAUUGGAAUUCAUUGUCCAAGUGGUCCAGCAUUUUCGGGGGACAGCAUAGAUAAAGUGCAGCAUCAAGACAAAAGGUCGAUAUUGAGUCACUUUACGUGUAGCCGGUCACGUUUUACAGAUAAGGAACACAAUUCGCCGAAAGUAUGUACAUUAUCGAGAUAACGCAAGAGUCGUCGGAGCUGGAUUAAUCGUAAUACCGGUACAGUUGAAAAAUGCCUCACCUUUUGAAACGUCAUUCUCGGAAAGGCUAGGUGACUGAUGUUGUUAUGUCGAUUUCUGACAUCCAACAGUCGUGCGAAGUUGAAAUCCGCAAGCGAUUCCGUUUUUCGUUCGAUAAAAAGCAUCGCGGGGAAAACGCACAAUGCAAUUGUGUUCAUUUAUUGAUCUAUUGACAACGUAUAAUCUGUGAAUUAUAAAUUAUAACUUAGACUUGGAGAAUUUAUGAACAUAAAUAACUUCUACUUUUCUUUUUCGACUGUCUUUUCUGUGUCUCUUGUAAAUAAGAAAUUUUCAUUGUUAUUAGCUGCUGCUGAAUUACUCCUUCACUUUGUUCUAUAUUCGGAGGAACAUCGAGCUUAUUCAGUGGAUGUUUUGUCAAGCAAAUUAUUCUCCGCAGGAUGUGUACCGAAAUCUGAAGUGGAUUUUGAAGCAAUGGACCGCUUAUGAUGAUGCAUUUGAAACAGGAGUAUCGACGAUGCUGCUUAGAUUUCUCGCAAAUUAGUCACUGAAAGUUCCUAUCUUUUGUUCCAAUUAGAUUGUGACGCAGGAUUUAUGUAACUACAAAUACAUGAAGAAAUGACUUUAAGUUAAA